rnacentral:misc_RNA from 1 species
ACACCUCAACUCUCAUGGUUUGCCAUGAUGAGCUUGGACUUUGGAGGUCUUGCCGGCCUACGGUCGGCUCCUCUCAAAUGAAUCAGCUUGCCAGUGUUUGGUGGCGUCACGGGUGUGAUAACUAUCUACGCUUGUGGUUUUCACCAGGUAACCUUCAGCGAUGGAGGUUCGCUGGAGCUCACAAAUGUCUCUCCUCGGUGAGGACAGCUUUUGAAC